UACGUAGGGUGCAAGCGUUGUCCGGAAUUAUUGGGCGUAAAGAGCUCGUAGGCGGUUUUGUUGCGUCGGCUGUGAAAUCCCGAGGCUCAACCUCGGGUCUGCAGUCGAUACGAGCAAACUAGAGUGUUGCAGGGGAGACUGGAAUUCCUGGUGUAGCGGUGAAAUGCGCAGAUAUCAGGAGGAACACCGGUGGCGAAGGCGGCCUGCUGGGGCAGUUGCUGACACUGGAGGCGCGACAGCGUGGGGAGCAAACAGG
rnacentral:rRNA from 1 species